CAGGAGGAUAAGCGAACCGGGGAAAGGGAAUACCCGGGUAAGGUCAAAGUCAAGAUAGGCAGGCAAAACCGUCUAUUGAUGAUGAAGGCUGAUACGGACUGAAUAUUAGUAGGGAAGUCGCCGAAUCCACACUGCCAAGAAAAGCUGCUAUUGUUUUAUACGUACCCGUACCGUAAACCGACACAGGUGGGCGAGGAGAAAAUCCACAGGCCGGCGGGAGAAGUGUUGUUAAGGAACUCGGCAAAAUGACCCCGUAACUUAGGGAGAAGGGGUUCCGUAGAGAUACGGACACAGAGAAGAGGCUCAAGCGACUGUUUAUCAAAAACACAGGUCUCUGCGAAACCGAAAGGUGAAGUAUAGGGGCUGACGCCUGCCCGGUGCCGGAAGGUCAAAGGGAGAAGUCAAGAUUAAAUCUGAAGCUUUGAACUCAAGCCCCAGUAAACGGCGGCCGUAACUAUAACGGUCCUAAGGUAGCGAAAUUCCUUGUCAGGUAAGUUCUGACCCGCACGAAAGGCGUAACGAUUUGAGCGCUGUCUCAACAAUGCAUCCGGUGAAAUUGAAGUGCCAGUGAAGAUACUGGUUACCCGCAGCAGGACGGAAAGACCCCAUGGAGCUUUACUGCAGCUUAAUAUUGGGAUUUGGUAUUGUAUGUACAGGAUAGGUGGGAGACUAGGAAGCCGAGACGCAAGUAGCGGUGGAGUCAACGUUGGGAUACCACUCUUACAAUACUGGAUUUCUAACCUACGGCCAUAAGCUGGCCGGGGGACAGUGUUAGGCGGGCAGUUUGACUGGGGCGGUCGCCUCCGAAAGAGUAACGGAGGCGUUCAAAGGUUGCCUCAGAAUGAUUGGAAACCAUUCAAAGAGUAUAAAGGCAGAAGGCAGCUUGACUGCGACCGCGACGGUGGGAGCAGGUACGAAAGUAGGACUUAGUGAUCCGGUGGAAAGCAAGUGGAAGCGCCAUCGCUCAACGGAUAAAAGCUACCCUGGGGAUAACAGGCUGAUCUCCCCCAAGAGUUCACAUCGACGGGGAGGUUUGGCACCUCGAUGUCGGCUCGUCGCAUCCUGGGGCUGAAGAAGGUCCCAAGGGUUGGGCUGUUCGCCCA
rnacentral:rRNA from 1 species